CACGUAGGGUGCGAGCGUUGUCCGGAAUUAUUGGGCGUAAAGAGCUCGUAGGCGGUGUGUCGCGUCGGCCGUGAAAACCUGCAGCUUAACUGUGGGCGUGCGGUCGAUACGGGCAUCACUGGAGUUCGGCAGGGGAGACUGGAAUUCCUGGUGUAGCGGUGAAAUGCGCAGAUAUCAGGAAGAACACCUAUGGCGAAGGCAGCACUCUGGGACGGUACUGACGCUGAGACGCGAAAGCGUGGGGAGCGAACAGG
rnacentral:rRNA from 1 species